rnacentral:rRNA from 1 species
UUUUAUGGAGAGUUUGAUCCUGGCUCAGGAUGAACGCUGGCGGCGUGCCUAAUACAUGCAAGUCGAGCGAACGGACGAGAAGCUUGCUUCUCUGAUGUUAGCGGCGGACGGGUGAGUAACACGUGGAUAACCUACCUAUAAGACUGGGAUAACUUCGGGAAACCGGAGCUAAUACCGGAUAAUAUUUUGAACCGCAUGGUUCAAAAGUGAAAGACGGUCUUGCUGUCACUUAUAGAUGGAUCCGCGCUGCAUUAGCUAGUUGGUAAGGUAACGGCUUACCAAGGCAACGAUGCAUAGCCGACCUGAGAGGGUGAUCGGCCACACUGGAACUGAGACACGGUCCAGACUCCUACGGGAGGCAGCAGUAGGGAAUCUUCCGCAAUGGGCGAAAGCCUGACGGAGCAACGCCGCGUGAGUGAUGAAGGUCUUCGGAUCGUAAAACUCUGUUAUUAGGGAAGAACAUAUGUGUAAGUAACUGUGCACAUCUUGACGGUACCUAAUCAGAAAGCCACGGCUAACUACGUGCCAGCAGCCGCGGUAAUACGUAGGUGGCAAGCGUUAUCCGGAAUUAUUGGGCGUAAAGCGCGCGUAGGCGGUUUUUUAAGUCUGAUGUGAAAGCCCACGGCUCAACCGUGGAGGGUCAUUGGAAACUGGAAAACUUGAGUGCAGAAGAGGAAAGUGGAAUUCCAUGUGUAGCGGUGAAAUGCGCAGAGAUAUGGAGGAACACCAGUGGCGAAGGCGACUUUCUGGUCUGUAACUGACGCUGAUGUGCGAAAGCGUGGGGAUCAAACAGGAUUAGAUACCCUGGUAGUCCACGCCGUAAACGAUGAGUGCUAAGUGUUAGGGGGUUUCCGCCCCUUAGUGCUGCAGC